UGGAUGACUUGUGGCUAGCGGUGAAAUUCCAAUCGAACCCGGAGAUAGCUAGUUCUCCCCGAUAUAUCUUUAAGGAUAGCGUUAUGUGAAUUGUUGUGGAGGUAGAGCACUGAAUCUAUGAUGGCUGCACCUAGCGGUACUGAUUAGAAUUAAACUCCGAAUGCCAUAACUUGUGCAUAGCAGUCAGAACAUGGGUGAUAAGGUCCAUGCUCGUGAGGGAAACAGCCCAGAUCGUCAGCUAAGGUCCCUAAGUGUAAACUAAGUGUGUAAGGAUGUGGAACUGCACAGACAGCUAGGAUGUUGGCUUAGAAG
rnacentral:rRNA from 1 species